rnacentral:lncRNA from 1 species
CCCUAUCUGUCUGCCUAAUUUGAAGAGAUCCCGGGCUCAGGUGACACACUGGAAACAGUGACCAAGCCCACACGUGCUUUCAAAAAAGUUCUUUAUUCAGCUGGUCCUGUAAUAAGCAAAGGCUAAGAUAUACACGACAGGCCCCGGAAGCCCAUAAAAGAUCAGAAAGUAAGUUCUAUCCAGAAAAGUGGAAGGAACUGAACUUGAAGCGGACGAUGCGGGGCGACGGCUGAGAGUAGUUGUUCUGAACUUCGAUGUCCCACACGCAGUUGGCGUUGUUCGGGUAGUUCCCAGGGUAGAAGGGGCUGUUAAAGCUCCCCGCCGCCUGGGACAGGAAGCCACCGCAGGAAUAAUUUGCUGUUGGGACAAAGUGGGAAUGCUGAGGGGCCGUGGCGCCCGCUGCACAGUCAUCUGGGGGAGACCUUUUUAACAAUCCCCAAGACAGAAACCCAGCAGCAAGUGCCUAGCCCAGGACUGUCCCCUGAGGGUCAGCGGGGAGCCUCUCCAGAGAGGCUGUGCUCAGGGGCGUCCUCUCAGCAUCCUCAUCAUCC